UACGAAGGGGGCUAGCGUUGUUCGGAAUUACUGGGCGUAAAGCGCACGUAGGCGGAUCGAUCAGUCAGGGGUGAAAUCCCAGAGCUCAACUCUGGAACUGCCUUUGAUACUGUCGACCUAGAGUAUGGAAGAGGUGAGUGGAAUUCCGAGUGUAGAGGUGAAAUUCGUAGAUAUUCGGAAGGAACACCAGUGGCGAAGGCGGACU
rnacentral:rRNA from 1 species